rnacentral:rRNA from 1 species
AGGGAAUCUUCCACAAUGGACGGAAGUCUGAUGGAGCAACGCCGCGUGAGUGAUGAAGGUUUUCGGAUCGUAAAACUCUGUUGUAAGGGAAGAACCAGUACGUCAGGCAAUGGACGUACCUUGACGGUACCUUAUUAGAGAGCCACGGCUAACUACGUGCCAGCAGCCGCGGUAAUACGUAGGUGGCAAGCGUUGUCCGGAAUUAUUGGGCGUAAAGCGCGCGCAGGUGUUUCUUAAGUCUGAUGUGAAAGCCCACGGCUUAACCGUGGAGAGUCAUUGGAAACUGGGAGACUUGAGUGCAGAAGAGGAAAGUGGAAUUCCAAGUGUAGCGGUGAAAUGCGUAGAGAUCUGGAGGAAUACCGAUGGCGAAGGCAGCCAUCUGGCCUAAUACUGACGCUGAGGUACGAAAGCAUGGGGAGCAAACA